CAACAGAUGAACGGCUAAAGAAGAUGUGGGCAUUCAUGGUACAUCAUAAGUCUUCAAUCAAUGCUUGAUAACCAUCACCCCGUGACAAUUUGAAGAGCACUGCCCUUACAACUCCCAGAAGAAAAUAAAAGAAUGGCCAAUAAACAUAUGAAAAAAUAUUCAACGUAGUAAUCAGGCA